rnacentral:rRNA from 1 species
AAUAGAUACCCGGGUAGUCCACGCCGUAAACGAUGAGUGCUAAGUGUUAGAGGGUUUCCGCCCUUUAGUGCUGCAGCUAACGCAUUAAGCACUCCGCCUGGGGAGUACGGCCGCAAGGCUGAAACUCAAAGGAAUUGACGGGGGCCCGCACAAGCGGUGGAGCAUGUGGUUUAAUUCGAAGCAACGCGAAGAACCUUACCAGGUCUUGACAUCCUCUGCCAACCCUAGAGAUAGGGCGUUCCCCUUCGGGGGACAGAGUGACAGGUGGUGCAUGGUUGUCGUCAGCUCGUGUCGUGAGAUGUUGGGUUAAGUCCCGCAACGAGCGCAACCCUUGAUCUUAGUUGCCAGCAUUCAGUUGGGCACUCUAAGGUGACUGCCGGUGACAAACCGGAGGAAGGUGGGGAUGGCGUCAAAUCAUCAUGCCCCUUAUGACCUGGGCUACACACGUGCUACAAUGGAUGGUACAAAGAGCUGCGAACCCGCGAGGGUAAGCCAAUCUCAUAAAGCCAUUCUCAGUUCGGA